rnacentral:tRNA from 1 species
UGCUAUGGCUCAGUAGGUAGAGCGUCGCCUUGGUAAGGCGGAGGUCACGGGUUCGAAUCCCGUUAGCA